rnacentral:rRNA from 1 species
UACGUAGGGCGCAAGCGUUAUCCGGAAUUAUUGGGCGUAAAGAGCUCGUAGGCGGUUUGUCGCGUUCUGCCGUGAAAGUCCGGGGCUCAACUCCGGAUCUGCGGUGGGUACGGGCAGACUAGAGUGAUGUAGGGGAGACUGGAAUUCCUGGUGUAGCGGUGGAAUGCGCAGAUAUCAGGAAGAACGACCGGGUGGCGAAGGCGGCUCUCUGGGCCUUACCUGACGCUGAGGAGCGAAAGC